rnacentral:pre_miRNA from 1 species
UUUUGAUACCAUUUUGACACUGUACACGUGUCAAAAUGUGGUUGGACGAUUUUAAAUUAAAAAAAAAAACUUUGAUUUUUCUCGUCCAAUCACAUUUUGACACGUUACAGUAUCAAAA